UACGAAGGGGGCUAGCGUUGUUCGGAAUUACUGGGCGUAAAGCGCACGUAGGCGGAUAUUUAAGUCAGGGGUGAAAUCCCAGAGCUCAACUCUGGAACUGCCUUUGAUACUGGGUAUCUCGAGUAUGGAAGAGGUGAGUGGAAUUCCGAGUGUAGAGGUGAAAUUCGUAGAUAUUCGCAAGAACACCAGUGGCGAAGGCGGCUCACGUGGCCUGUUCUUGACGCUGAGGCGCGAAAGCUAGGGGAGCAAACGGG
rnacentral:rRNA from 1 species